UACAGAGGGGGCAAGCGUUGUUCGGAAUUACUGGGCGUAAAGAGCGCGUAGGCGGCCUGUUAAGUCGAACGUGAAAUCCCCGGGCUCAACCCGGGAACUGCGUCCGAUACUGGCAGGCUUGAAUCCGGGAGAGGGAUGCGGAAUUCCAGGUGUAGCGGUGAAAUGCGUAGAUAUCUGGAGGAACACCGGUGGCGAAGGCGGCAUCCUGGACCGGUAUUGACGCUGAGGAGCGAAAGCCAGGGGAGCAAACGGG
rnacentral:rRNA from 1 species